CUACUGGGGUAUCUAAUCCCGUUCGCUCCCCUGGCUUUCGAGCCUCAGCGUCAGUUGCAGUCCAGAAAGCCGCCUUCGCCACUGGUGUUCCUCCCAAUAUCUACGCAUUUCACCGCUACACUGGGAAUUCCGCUUUCCUCUCCUGUACUCAAGACAUGUAGUUUCUUUCCCAUCACGGGGUUGAGCCCCGAACUUUUAAGAAAGACUUACAUGCCCGCCUGCGCUCCCUUUACGCCCAAUGAUUCCGGACAACGCUCGCCACCUACGUAUUACCGCGGCUGCUGGCAC
rnacentral:rRNA from 1 species